rnacentral:rRNA from 1 species
AUUGAACGCUAGCGGGAUGCUUUACACAUGCAAGUCGAACGGCAGCGCGGACUUCGGUCUGGCGGCGAGUGGCGAACGGGUGAGUAAUGUAUCGGAACGUGCCCAGUAGCGGGGGAUAACUACGCGAAAGCGUAGCUAAUACCGCAUACGCCCUACGGGGGAAAGCAGUGGAUCGUAAGACCUUGCACUAUUGGAUCGGCCGGUAUCGGAUUAGCUAGUUGGUGAGGUAACGGCUCACCAAGGCGACGAUCCGUAGCAGGUCUGAGAGGACGACCAGCCACACUGGGACUGAGACACGGCCCAGACUCCUACGGGAGGCAGCAGUGGGGAAUUUUGGACAAUGGGGGAAAGCCUGAUCCAGCAAUCCCGCGUGUGCGAUGAAGGCCUUCGGGUUGUAAAGCACUGUUGGCAAGAAAGAAACGUCGCGGGCUAAUACCUCGUGGAACUGACGGUACCUGCAGAAUAAGCACCGGCUAACUACGUG